rnacentral:rRNA from 1 species
UACAGAGGUGGCAAGCGUUUGUUCGGAAUUACUGGGGCGUAAAGGGCUCGUAGGCGGCCAACUAAGUCAUACGUGAAAUCCCUCGGCUUAACCGGGGAACUGCGUCUGAUACUGGAUGGCUUGAGUUCGGGAGAGGGAUGCGGAAUUCCAGGUGUAGCGGUGAAAUGCGUAGAUAUCUGGAGGAACACCGGUGGCGAAGGCGGCAUCCUGGACCGAUACUGACGCUGAGGAGCGAAAGCCAGGGGAGCAAACGGG